rnacentral:rRNA from 1 species
CCCUUAGAUGUUCUGGGCGGCCCGCGCACUACACUGGCACUCUCAAACAGAGCCUGGAUCUAACACUUUGGGGUAUUCUAUGAAGUGGUGUCGUGACUGGGAUUAACCCUUGCAAUUAUUGGUUACGAACGAGGAAUUCCUUGUAAUCGCGGUUUAUCAGCCCGCGUUGAAUGCGUCCCUGCCCUUUGUACACACCGCCCGUCGCUCCUACCGAUGGAUCGUCCGGUGAAGCUCAUGGAGGGGCGGUUGUCUCAGCUGCCGUCGAAGUGAAAUGGACCUCACGAUCUAGAGGAAGGAGAAGUCGUAACA